GACGAACGCUGGCGGCGUGCCUAAUACAUGCAAGUAGAACGCAGUUGCGAACGGGUGAGUAACGCGUAGGUAACUGCCUCAUAGCGGGGGAUAACUAUUGGAAACGAUAGCUAAUACCGCAUACUGUGAGAUGGACCUGCGUUGUAUUAGCUAGUUGGUGAGGUAAAGGCUCACCAAGGCGACGAUACAUAGCCGACCUGAGAGGGGGGGUGUGCAAACCUGGAAUGAGACACCGCCCAGACUACUUCGGGAGGCAAGCGUAGGGAAUCUUCGGAAAUGGACGGAAGUCUUACCGAGCAACGCCGCGGGAGUGAAGAAGGUUUUCGGAGCUGAAAGCUCUGUUGUUUGAGAAGCGGUAACGAACCAGAAAGGGACGGCUAACUACGUGCCAGCAGCCGCGGUAAUAC
rnacentral:rRNA from 1 species